rnacentral:rRNA from 1 species
GGGAAGCGAAAUAGUGAUAUAGAGCAAAACCCUAAAAACGGUCUCAGUUCGGAUUGAAGGCUGAAAUUCGCCUUCAUGAAGCUGGAAUUGCUAGUAAUGGCAGGUCAGCAUACUGCCGUGAAUACGUUCCCGGGCCUUGUACACACCGCCCGUCACACCAUGAGAGUUGGAGAUACCCGAAGCCUAUGAGCUAACUUUUAGAGGCAGUAGUCGAAGGUAGAAUCAAUGAUUGGGGUGAAGUCGUAACAAGGUACC